UCUGGAUGAUGUGGUCGGGGCAGUUGAUCGAUGUGUCGGGGCGAUCCAAGCCCCCGUGUCGAGGCACUAGUAUGGUGAAGCGUCUCAGGCUGUGA